UGAGGAAUAUUGCUCAAUGGGCGAAAGCCUGAAGCAGCAACGCCGCGUGCGCGAUGAAGGCCUUCGGGUCGUAAAGCGCUUUUGAGAGGGACGAGAUAGGACGGUACCUCUGGAAUAAGUCACGGCUAACUACGUGCCAGCAGCCGCGGUAAAACGUAGGUGGCAAGCGUUAUCCGGAUUCACUGGGCGUAAAGCGCGUGCAGGUGGCUUCGUAAGUUGGACGUUAAAUCUCCCGGCCUAACCGGGAAGUGUCGUUCAAUACUGCGGGGCUGGAGGGCAGAAGAGGGGGGUGGAAUUGCUGGUGUAGUGGUGAAAUGCGUAGAUAUCAGCAGGAACACCUGUGGCGAAAGCGGCCCCCUGGUCUGCUCCUGACACUCAGACGCGAAAGCUAGGGGAGUGAACGGG
rnacentral:rRNA from 1 species